CACUCAGACAGAUACAGCUGACACACAUACGGAUACACAGGGGCACACAUUGACACACAGAUAUACAGACAGAUACACACAUGCAGAACGUACACAGUUUAAGCCAUCUUCCGGUUUCCAACCUUAUGAGUGCAGAAGAGUGGCUUCCCUCUGUUCCAGUCGGCUGGCUGAGGCUCUCCCACUUUGAGCCCCCUACUCUUUGCCUUUUCUUCCUGUGUGGCUCUGUUUUAUCUGGGAGGAAGUGACUGUUUCUCACUUUCUCCCAGCGUUGCCAAGAUUACAGGGACCUGGUCAAGCUGUUAAAGGGCUGUAGUGCAUGACCAGGCCACUAAAAUGAUUUUGCCAUCAGCUGGCCCUAAGUGCAUGGGUCCCCAAUGGACCCCUUAAGUGUGCCGGCUGCACCGGCAGUAGUUC